rnacentral:rRNA from 1 species
GCCUGGUAGCGGGGGAUAACUAUUGGAAACGAUAGCUAAUACCGCAUGAAAUUGCUUAUCGCAUGAUAAUUAAUUGAAAGAUGCAAUUGCAUCACUACCAGAUGGACCUGCGUUGUAUUAGCUAGUUGGUGAGGUAACGGCUCACCAAGGCGACGAUACAUAGCCGACCUGAGAGGGUGAUCGGCCACACUGGGACUGAGACACGGCCCAG